GACGGUGGAGGCAUGUGGUUUAAUUUCGAAGCAACGCGAAGAACCUUACCAGGCCUUGACAUGCAGAGAACUUUCCAGAGAUGGAUUGGUGCCUUCGGGAACUCUGACACAGGUGCUGCAUGGCUGCCGUCAGCUCGUGUCGUGAGAUGUUGGGUUAAGUCCGUAACGAGCGCAACCCUUGUCCUUAGUUACCAGCACGUUAUGGUGGGCACUCUAAGGAGACUGCCGGUGACAAACCGGAGGAAGGUGGGGAUGACGUCAAGUCAUCAUGGCCCUUACGGCCUGGGCUACACACGUGCUACAAUGGUCGGUACAAAGGGUUGCCAAGCCGCGAGGUGGAGCUAAUCCCAUAAAACCGAUCGUAGUCCGGAUCGCAGUCUGCAACUCGACUGCGUGAAGUCGGAAUCGCUAGUAAUCGUGAAUCAGAAUGUCACGGUGAAUACGUUCCCGGGCCUU
rnacentral:rRNA from 1 species